UGUCCGAGGGGCGCUGCAGCAGUCGAACUGUCAGGCUCGGAUGGGGCGUUUCCUAGAACGCAUCAACGGCGCCCAUUCGC
rnacentral:ncRNA from 1 species